GAUGAACGCUAGCGGCAGGCCUAACACAUGCAAGUCGAGGGGUAGAGGCUUUCGGGCCUUGAGACCGGCGCACGGGUGCGUAACGCGUAUGCAAUCUGCCUUGUACUGAGGGAUAGCCCAGAGAAAUUUGGAUUAACACCUCACAGUAUUUUAGUGUGGCAUCACAUUAUUAUUAAAGGUUACGGUACAAGAUGAGCAUGCGUCCCAUUAGCUAGUUGGUAUGGUAACGGCAUACCAAGGCUACGAUGGGUCGGGGUCCUGAGAGGGAGAUCCCCCACACUGGUACUGAGACACGGACCAGGCUCCUACGGGAGGCAGCAGUGAGGAAUAUUGGUCAAUGGUCGCAAGACUGAACCAGCCAUGCCGCGUGCAGGAUGAAGCAUCUAUGGUGUGUAAACUGCUUUUGUACGGGAAGAAACACCGCUACGUGUAGCGGCUUGACGGUACCGUAAGAAUAAGGAUCGGCUAACUCCGUGCCAGCAGCCGCAGUAACAC
rnacentral:rRNA from 1 species